rnacentral:rRNA from 1 species
CCUACGGGAGGCAGCAGUGAGGAAUAUUGGUCAAUGGGCGUAAGCCUGAACCAGCCAAGUCGCGUGAGGGAUGAAGGUUCUAUGGAUUGUAAACCUCUUUUAUAAGGGAAUAAAGUGCGGGACGUGUCCUGUUUUGUAUGUACCUUAUGAAUAAGGAUCGGCUAACUCCGUGCCAGCAGCCGCGGUAAUACGGAGGAUCCGAGCGUUAUCCGGAUUUAUUGGGUUUAAAGGGUGCGUAGGCGGCCUUUUAAGCCAGCGGUGAAAGUGUGUGGCGCAACCAUAGAAUUGCGGUUGAAACUGGGAGGCUUGAGUAUGUUGGAGACAGGCGGAAUGCGUGGUGUAGCGGUGAGAU